UCCCUUGCUUUUUGGUGUUCACUUACAUAUC
rnacentral:piRNA from 1 species